CAUGGUGGAAAAGGCAAUCAGGCUAAGCUUGUUUAGGCAAGCAAAAGGCAAGCAGCUUCUGAGUAACAUCCCAGAGGCUGGCAUGCUGGACCACCUUCAGACCCGCCCUUGAGGAGUGUCCCCAGGAUGAUUUACAUGAGAAAAUGUUUUUCUACUUGCUGGGACUUCUGGUUGGUCUUGCUGAGGCCAGCUGGAGAGGGCUGCCUUUCUCCCAGCUUCAGAAUCCUUUAGCUGGUACGUUUUUCCUCUUUCGUCAACUCAGCCCCUUCUCACCUUCUUCUAUGGAUAACCUGGAGCCUUUCUGGGCAGCUUCAUCAACAGGGGGUCUGAUGUCUUACUAUGGACUUUGGAUGGUGCCAGUUCAUACUACGUGGUCCUCAACUUGUGCUGAAUGAAUAAAUGAGCACACUGCGAAUGAGCCUCAGGGAGCUGUGGUCCAUGAGAGCUCGACUAAGACUCUCUUCUCCACCAUCCUCCCCACCACUGUAACUGUUGCUGAUCCCCCAAGCUGGCUUCAGCGAUCUGUUUAGAGCUCCACUGUGUGAGCUCUUCCAGAUCCAGAGAGCGCCAGCCAGCACUGCAAUCGAGCUUUGUUUUCAUUAUGCAGGCUUCCUGGGAAGUUUCAAAUUAAUUUUCAUCCUCUUCUCACUUUUAAGGCCUCUAAAAAGGGCUGUGUUCCUGCCUUCUUGGUGAACCAGGGCCCCUCCUGUUCCCUAGGACAGCGCUCAGCCUGGUGGGGUCUGCAUGGCCACACGUCCCUGGGCCUCCCCCACACGAGGUUGGCGGCUUCCAGACCACUCUUCACUCGGGCCCUGGAAAAGCCAACCCUGCUCAUGGUAGCCGGGCCAGCACCCACCUGGAUCUGAUGGAAACUGAGCAUUUUGUUUUUAAAUUCACCCCACAACAUGCACUAUUUUAUUGUUUGUUUUUACCCCCUGUUAAAAGUAGACAAGAUGAAAACAAUGACUUCACUGAGCUUUAAACUUGAAAAACCACCACCUCCAGGCAGCCUACCAUCUUUGCUCUGAAGUGGACUACGGUACUGAGUAAUAUGUACACAGCUAUUAAUGUCUUUUUUUCUGCUUGAUGUAGAUUUCCAUUUCUUGCCAAAAAAUCACUCAAGUUAUCCACAGACCCACUCAGGAAAAUAAACAUGGAGAAAUGACAGCUACUCACCAACUAUUGGUCUGGGCUUGGUGUAGUCUUCAAAUCCUUGGUCUCACUGGAACUUCUUACUGUCCUCUGCGGUAGAUCCUAACACCCCCAUUUUGCAGCAGUUCAGGGGGUUGACAUAGGGUUCCCAUGGUCACGGAGCUCCCAUGUGAUGGCACUGGGAUCUGGUCUUUUUUUUUUUUCCGAUUCUAGAGCUCACUCUCUCAUCACCACCCUCCCCCCAACCCCAGUCCUCUGCACCCCUUCCUCAGCUUUCCAGCUAUCAACCUGUAGGAAUUGCCUAAAGACUUUUUUUUUCCACCCAGGCAGACAAGUUUAGCAAUUUGAGAAAUUCUGGCAAGUGAAUUCGGGAGAAUAUGGUACCCAUUAGCUGCUGGGCAUUCAAAGGGAGAAGUGAGAAACACAGGCUGCCCGAGCCUUGGAAGCCGCACCCUGGGAAGGGCGUUUCUGGGGUACGGAGACAGCAGCCAGAGAGAGGAGGCCCGAGGUAGAGAAUCCUCCCCGCUCCCCUGCGGGGUUCAUUCUCCCCCUCCAUCCAUUGGGACGCUGUCUCUGUAAUAUUUUCCCCAACAUUUCCAGCAUCCAGAGACUAGUGGGUGGUAGGGAGGGCUGGAUCUCACACCGGCUGAUGCUGCUCACAUUGUAAACUGCGGGGUGCCUCAGUUUCCCCAAACAGCAGGCUUUUUGAAGAAUCGGGGAGCGAGCUGGUGGUCCCUCCAGG
ensembl:lncRNA